rnacentral:misc_RNA from 1 species
ACGAUUGACCAGCUUUGCUCACCAUUAGUGCCCCUGGGAUAGGCGUACUUUGUAAAGACUCCAUUAUAAUCAAUUGUUGCUCGAUAGUAGUGUGUAGCCGCACUAGGUGCAACGAUAUCUGACUCUUCCAUAGGAGUUGGACAAUCGUUCCAUCGGUCCGGAUCAAGUAGAUAUGAGAUGAUUCAUUGAAAACAGAUGAUUCAUUGAAAACAAGCUGUGAACCAGAACUAAUGAAAUAAGGAUUAUACUUGAACUCAGUUGGCCAGGCAAGCGCGCUGAGCUG